rnacentral:rRNA from 1 species
CCAGACAGCCAGGAUGUUGGCUUAGAAGCAGCCAUCAUUUAAAGAAAGCGUAAUAGCUCACUGGUCGAGUCGGCCUGCGCGGAAGAUGUAACGGGGCUAAACCAUGCACCGAAGCUGCGGCAGCGACGCUUAUGCGUUGUUGGGUAGGGGAGCGUUCUGUAAGCCUGUGAAGGUGUGCUGUGAGGUAUGCUGGAGGUAUCAGAAGUGCGAAUGCUGACAUAAGUAACGAUAAAGCGGGUGAAAAGCCCGCUCGCCGGAAGACCAAGGGUUCCUGUCCAACGUUAAUCGGGGCAGGGUGAGUCGACCCCUAAGG